GACAGUGGGACCAGCUGCAGUGAGCCGUGCCCCGCCGCCGCCCCCCCCCCCCGCCCCGGCUGAAGGAUGCUCGAAGAACCCGUCCCGGCCGCCCGAGAGCCCGAGCAGCUCGGAGCAGUCAAACUGGAGGAAGAGGAGGCCGUCGGUCAGGAGGACCUCAGGCACACUGAGGCCAGGCCCCGGCCCGAGGUGGCUCACCAGCUCUUCAGAUGCUUCCAGUAUCAGGAGGACAUGGGGCCAAGGGCGUCCCUGAGCCGGCUCCGGGAGCUGUGCUGCCGCUGGCUGCGGCCGGCUCUGCACACCAAGGAGCAGAUCCUGGAGCUGCUGGUGCUGGAGCAGUUCCUGAGCGUGCUGCCCCCGCACCUGCUGGCCCGGCUCCAGGGCCAGCAGCUCAGGGACGGCGAGGAGGUUGUGCUGCUGCUGGAGGGUGUCCAGAGGGAGUCCAGCGCCGUGGGGCCACUGGUAAGGGGGAGGGGGGGCGGCCGGGCGGCAAGACAGGGACUCGGGCGCCCCGUGAAGGAAUCACCCGACACCCCAUUUUCCUCCCUCUGACAAUUGCUUCUUAACCUCCUAAGUCCCGUGACCCUCCCCUUUCCGCGGCCCCCUUUCCCUUGGGAGUGAGAAGGACGCGCAUCGUCCCUCUGCCCUGUUCGCCACCUGACACAGAUGCAUUUUGCACAGGAUUUUAGUUUUAAUGCUGGCAAGAAUUGUCCCCGUGCAGACGUCACUUCGGAGGACCAGGGGGGCUCUUCCCAGGUCUCCAGCCACAGCCCCAAAAAGGAAGUGCCCUCAGAAGGACCCCCGGCCCCGGAGCCAGCCGUGGAGCCCCCAGCAUCCCAGCCAGGGCCCUCCAAGCCCGCUGAGCUGGGGACCUGGAGACAUCCCCCAAGUUCAAAGCAGCCACUGAGCCCAGGCCCCAAGAGGACAUUCCAAGCCCUGCAAGAGUGUGGUGAGCAGCUGGUGCCCGGGCAGGUGGGAGCCAGGGGCCUGGUACGUGAGGACGGGGUGAGACGAAGGCACCCCCCCCUUUGACAGGGAUGGGAGAGCGCCGAGAUGUCUCUCCCAGGGCCCUGACCACGGGUGCGCCCCCCCGUACGGCGGGGGGAGGGUAAGCCGGCCCCCUAACGGCUCUCUCUUUCUCCCCCCGAUGCUGCCAGCCCCCCAGGGCCCUGUCCUGUGGCUGGAGGAAAACUCCCGAGAUCAGGAGCUUGCAGCUGUGCUGGUGAGCUGGCCCGGCCCCUCCCUCCAGACUGUCCUCGGCCCGGACGCUCUCUGCCCCCGCUGUUGUGGCAAAUCCGUGUCUUCCUUAAUUUGAACCCUCAGAGUCUUCCAUCCCCCUCAGCUCACAGCCCCGUUCCUCUCUCACCAAGGGUCUGGCUCAUCCUUUUGUUACAGGAGUCCCUGACCUUCGAGGAUGUCCCAGCAAAGAAGGCGUGGCCUGUUCACCCUCUGGGUAAGCGGCCCUUCCUGCUGGGGACCACUGAAGGCUCUCUCCUUGUGUUUCCAGAGUGGUCUCUAAAGCUCCAGACCCUACCUGACUUUUUAGCCUCUUUGGCUAAAAAUGGCCUAUGUUAACAUGAAUUCCUUCCUUCCUUCCUUUCUUCCUUCCUCCAUUCGUUUACUUAUUUUAUACUUUUAAAAAAAUGUUCGUUUACUUCUGAGAGAGAGAGAAAAAGCAGGAGCGGGGGAGGAGCAGAGAGAGGGGGACAGAGGAUCCGGACGUGGGGCUGAAACUCACAAAUAUGAGAUCAUGACCCGAGCUGAAGUCCGACGCUCAACCCACUGAGCCACCCAGGUGCCCCUUACUUACUUAUUUUAUUUAAAAAAAAUGUUUUUUAAUUUUUUAACACUUACAUAUUUUUAUUUUAAUUUUUUUUUAUCGUUUAUUUAUUUUUGAGACAGAGAGAGAGACAGAGCAUGAACGGGGGAGGGGCAGAGAGAGAGGGAGACACAGAAUCGGAAGCAGGCUCCAGGCUCUGAGCCGUCAGCCCAGAGCCCGACGCGGGGCUCGAACUCACGGACCGCGAGAUCGUGAGAUCGUGACCUGAGCUGAAGUCGGACUCUCAACCGACUGAGCCACCCAGGCGCCCCACUUAUUUAUUUUUGAGACAGAGAGAGAGCAUGAACAGGGGAGGGUCAGAGAAAGAGGGAGACACAGAAUCUGAAACAGGCUCCAGGCUCUGAGCUGUCAGCACAGAGCCCGAUGUGGGGCUUGAACCCACGGACCACGAGAUCAUGACCUGAGCUGAAGUCGGACGCUCAACCGACUGAGCCACCCAGGCGCCCCUAAAAAUUUUUUUUAAUGUUUAUUUAUUUUUGAGAGAAAGAGAGCGUGAAUGCAGGAAGGGGCAGGAAGAGAGGGAGACACGGAAUCCGAAGCAGGCUCCUGGCUCUGAGCUGGCAGCACAGAGCCGGACCCAGGGCUCAAACCCACGAAUCGUGAGAUCUUGCCCUGAGCCGAAGUCAGUCGCUUAACUGACUGAGCCACCCAGGCGCCCCUCUUUUACUUAUUUUAGAGGCUUACUGUGUUUGAUGUAAUUAUCAACCCCGUUAACUUUGAGCUUUUAAAAUGGGUGGUCAUGGGAGUGCUUGCUAAGGGGUUUGGGGUUUACAUCCAGGGGAAGGACAGAGUUCUGACACUAGAUAGACAGUGGUGACAGUUGUACAACACUGGGAAUGUACCUGAUGGACCUGAACUGUGCACUUUAAAAUGGUUACUACGGUAAAUUCUAUGGUUUUUACCGUCACCUUCUGCCCCCCCCUCCGCCCCCCUCCCGGAUUUUGGGAUCCUGGGUUUCUUUCUGCUUUGAGGCAAUGAGGCCCUGGCAAUUCCUGGGGGCCUCUAAGAAUAGGCCUGCCCACAUACCCCCCCUUUUCCUGCUUCUUCCUCAGGACCCGGAAGCAGAACCCCAGAUGAGGAGUUCAAAGAGGAGCCCAAGGCGGUCACCUGGCCUGCGGCCCUCUCAACAGAGCCUCAGGCAGACCGUCCUGCGGCGGCGGAAGAGCCCCAGGUCCAGGUGCUGGGGCCUGGCCCCGAAGUGAGUGGCACCGGCGGAGGAGGGUCCCCUCCCAGCAGGAGUGACAUCCUGGAGGUCAAAGUGGCCGACGGGCCUCCCAGGUCGGAGGCAGAGAUGGAAUUCAUCUGCACCGACUGCGGGGUGACUUUCCGACAGCUGGCCCGCCUGGAGGCGCACCAGCUGCGGAGUCACCCGGGCGCCCGGUCCUUUCCGUGCGAGCGCUGCGGGAAGAGCUUCGGCCGCAGCUCCAUCCUCAAGCUGCACAUGCGCACGCACACGGACGAGCGGCCACACGCCUGCCACCUGUGCGGCCACCGCUUCCGCCAGAGCUCCCACCUGAACAAGCACCUUCAGACGCACUCCUCCGAGCCCGCCUUCCUGUGUGCCGAGUGCGGCCAGGGCUUCCAGAGGCGCGCCAGCCUCAUGCAGCACCUGCUGGCGCACGCCGAGGGCCAGCAGUCGCCGCGCGCCCCCGAGGCCAAGCCCGAAGCGCGCGAGCUGGCCGUUGUCCUGUGCUCUCACUGCGGCCAGACCUUCCAGCGCCGCUCCAGCCUCAAGCGCCACCUGCGGAUCCACGCCAAGGACAAGGGCCACCAGUGCUCGGAGUGCUCGGGCAGCCUGCGCUCGGGCCCGGAGCGCAGGCCGUACGUGUGCAACGACUGUGGCAAGGCGUUCCGGCGCAGCGAGCACCUGGGGGCCCACCGGCGCGUGCACACGGGCGAGCGGCCCUUCUCGUGCCAGGUGUGCGGCCGCAGCUUCAGCCAGAGCUCCCAGCUGGUGUGCCACCAGCGGGUGCACACGGGCGAGAAGCCCUACAGCUGCCCGCACUGCGGGAAGCGCUUCGUGCGGCGGGCGGGGCUCGCCCGCCACCUCCUGACGCACGGCGGCCCGAGGCCCCACCACUGCACCCAGUGCGGCAAGACCUUCAGCCAGACGCAGGACCUCGCCCGCCACCGGCGCAGCCACACGGGCGAGAAGCCGUGCCGCUGCAGUGAGUGCGGCGAGGGCUUCAGCCAGAGCGCCCACCUGGCGCGCCACCAGCGCAUCCACACCGGGGAGAAGCCCCACGCCUGCGACACCUGUGGCUACCGCUUCCGCAACAGCUCCAACCUGGCCCGCCACCGCCGCAGCCACACCGGCGAGCGGCCCUACGGCUGCCAAACCUGCGGCCGGAGCUUCCGGCGCAACGCCCACCUGCAGCGGCACCUGGCCACCCACGCGGGCGCGGGGACCGAGGCGGCGUCCAGGCCGGCCGAGCCCCCGCAGGAGUGCCGGGAGUGCGGCAAGAGCUUCAGCCGCAGCUGUAAUCUGCUGCGCCACAUGCUGGUGCACACGGGGGCCAGGCCCUUCUCGUGCGCGCAGUGCGGCCGCAGCUUCAGCCGCAACUCGCACCUGCUGCGCCACCUGCGAACCCACGCCCGCGAGACCCUGUACUAGCCUCGCGCAGGUUCCGCCGGGCCCCGCCCCGCACGCGCGCGCGCGCCUCUGCGUCGCCCGUGUCCUGGGCAACCGAGGCCUGCGGUGGGCGUCCCUGGCCUGGCCCCGCCCCGCCCCGGCCUCCCUCUGGCUCCGCCAGACCUGUGUGUUAGUUUUCCCCUACCCCGGAGGCAGGUCUCCCUGGCUUCAGGGUUGUAUUUCAAAAUCCUAAAGUAAAACAGCUUUCCUGAAAAUGACUCUGCUUUAUUUUUUUGUGAGGUCCACCAAAACGCUGUUACCCUCCUACUGUGACAGUGACGCCUUUUUCCCUUCCCUUCCGUUCCCCAGCACCUUCCAUAGCAGGCUAGAGGGGAGCAGGCCCAAGGACUGGCCUCCUCCCCCACCCGCAACACACACACCCCGAAAGGGCCAGGUUGGGGGGGGGGGCGACAGAGGGGUGCCAUCUGUCCCAGUCAGCUGUGAGGAAGGCCAGGGAAUCUCAUCCGGAAUUCUUCCUUCUCUGGAGUCUGCACCCUAACCUGUGCUGUCCAGUACCCUCUAGCUGUAUGCGGCCGUUUAAAUUAAUUAAAAUGGUGGGACGCGUGGGUGGCUCAGUCAUUUGGGCGUUGGACUUCAGCUCAGGUCAUGAUUUACAGGUUGGUGAAUCCAGCCCUGCGUCACGCUCUGCGCUGACAGCCCAAAGCCUGCCUGGGAUUCUCCUCUCUCUGUCCCUCCCCUGAAUUCUGUCUCUCAAAAUAAAUAAAACCUGAAAAAAAAAAUAAUUACUUUAAUAACGGAAUAUAAUUUAAAAUCCCAGAUUCUGGGUCAUUCCAGGAAACAGCAGAUGAAACGAAACCUGCCUGAUGGCCAAGACAGGUUGCGGGCUGGGGACCCCCUAACGACCCAUAAUCCUGCAAACCCGAAGGUGGUUUGGCAGAGUGCCCACCUUCUCCGACCUCUCAGGCAAUCUUGGCAAUCCGGUAGACAGAUUUCGUUUUCUCCCAGUCUAGUGGACAGAUUUUUAAAAUCAUGUGACUUGGGGCGCCUGGGUGGCGCAGUCGGUUAAGCGUCCGACUUCAGCCAGGUCACGAUCUCGCGGUCUGUGAGUUCGAGCCCCGCGUCGGGCUCUGGGCUGAUGGCUCGGAGCCUGGAGCCUGUUUCCGAUUCUGUGUCUCCCUCUCUCUCUGCCCCUCCCCCGUUCAUGCUCUGUCUCUCUCUGUCCCAAAAAUAAAUAAACGUUGAAAAAAAAAAAUUAAAAAAAAAAAAUAAAAUAAAAUCAUGUGACUUGUGGUAAUACUGCAAAAAAGAAAACAGCCCACCCCAGCUGUAGGGCGUGUGCACACACACUUCCUGCUCUAGUCGGUGGCUUGUCACCUACAAGCUUUCGGGUUGUCUUUGUCCCUCCACCAGCCUGACACACGACUGCUCUUUGGCAAAUGCUUGUGGACAUACAGUGAACUUGUCAGCCCGCGGCCAAGGGACUUGGGAAAGAUCUGUCCCCAGAUCUAGAGGAGGUCCGUGUUUUGGGGGGUUGGGAGGAAGAUGAGGUGGGGUACAGAGAGUCACCAGAUGUCCCAGAACAAAUUAGAGCCUUGGAAGACCCCCCGAGGAGAAAUUUUCAAGAAGGAAGCUUUCUUGAUCGACUAAAUGAGUAAGGAAGUUGGGAGAACCCAUAGCAUUUGAAGGCUUUAUUUCUUGAGUACCUACUAUGUACUGGGGAACGUGCCGGGCUAUUGAGGAGAACAAGGCCUGAAAUAGAAGAGGGAGACCACCUCAGAAGAACCAGGGGGAGGGCACCCUCAUCGGAGGGAACAGCAGGUGCAAAGUCCCUGAGAAUACUGUCCCUGAGGGAGAUCUGUAGGAACCUGAUGACACAGACACAGCCUCAGAGGCUGACCUGACACCCAGGUCAGAGUGUAUUUACGAUGGGAAGAUGGGAGGGUGUUAAUCAGGCAGUUACUUCAUUUUGCCAUGACAUUGAUUUGGCCUCGGCACUGGAAAGAUUUGGCUUGAAAGAGGCAAGACCGAGGCGACCAACUAGGUUUGGGAUGACGGUGACCUUGAUGGGGCCGUGGGGUCAUGAAAGCCCCUGAUGGCUUCAACACGGUAGGCAGGUUUUCUCAACUUCUCACCGGAGUCAAGCGCAAAGGCACAAGGAGAAGUAAGAGAGAGUCUGACCACAGGGUCACGUGAAAAUGCGGGUCAGGGGUCUAAAAGAAACUGAAUGUUGACUGGCCAUGGGAGGAGAGGACACGACGUCCAGGGGGAAGCGAGAGCUAGGUCAGGCCCUGGCGGGGGACGGCCCCUUGGAGCUGGGGACUCAGGCCUGAGAUGGGCCUUCCAGUGUAAAAGGCUCUCAGAGGGAUCCCCUGGGAAUGAAACAGGAUGUGGGCCAGCACAGGGCUCCCCAAAGUCCACUCCCUCACCGGGCAGGGGCAAUGAGCAAGCAGGGCCCCUCAGGAUGACCAGGGCCACCAUCAGGGUCUGUCUAGCUUAGCCCUUGCCCACUCCUGGUGGACUCACAGCUGUUCCCCAGGGAGGUGAUUUUUCUAAGAAUUAAGAGUUCAUUCGUAUGAUCCAAAAGGGUCUUUAAGAAACUGGCAGAUGGGGGGGGGGGCACCUGGGUGGCUCAGUCAGCUGGGCAACCGACUUUGGCUCAGGUCAUGCUGUCCCAGUUCGUGGGAUGGAACCCUGAGUCCAGUGUCGGGCUCUGUGCUGAUGGCUCGGAGCCUGGCGCCUGCUGCGCAUUCUGUGUCUCCCUCUCUCUGCCCCUCCCCUGCGCGCGCUCGUGCGCGCUCUCUCUCUCUCUCUCUCUAAAUAAACAUUAAAAAAAGAAAAAAGAAAAAACAAAGAAAACGCCACAGGAGUGAGUGAUAGAAAUGCCCCCAGCUGUGAGGCCUCCCGGCUCCCAGUCACCUCCCCACAUCCCUCUCACCCCUAGGCACACCUCCCUGGUCUGGAGCCUCUCCUUUGCUGGCGUGUUUUCCCGCACCCCACCCUCACCCCACCCCACCUGUCCCCUUUCCUGCUCUGUCCUCAGGUCAGGGCCCCGGAAACCGCCCCCCCCCCAGCUCUAUCUCAGCAGCUGCUGUUUACGGCUAGACACCCCAAUGCAAAAAUCUGUGUGCAGCUGCGGGAAGCAGGAUGUCAGUGGGGGAGGGGGGAGCUUCAAGGAAGUGGCCUCAAAAAAUGGUGAGCUGGGCCGACCCCCUCCCUGCCCUGGCCUUGCUCCUGGCUCCCCUCCCCCCACCCCCUCCCCAGUUUCUGCAUUUGCAGGCCCCCGGGAGGCCUGAGCCAGAGAUCUGAGUCCCGUCCCGCCCUAGGCUGCCCUUCUCUCUGGUCCAGGUAGGGGUGAACCCUCCUCCCCCUCCCUACUCCUCCCUCCCCCGCCUCUGCCCCAACCUCAAAGCCAAGGAGUUUCCAUGGCCUGGUGAAGGAUGAAGACCCAGGUCAGAAGAACAAGCCAAGGGGCAAAUGUGCCUCAGGCCUGAGCUCCCUGCAACGCGCAGGCCAGGAAACUUCCAGCCCUUUCCACAGGCCAGGUGUCACCCGUGUCCAUGUACAGAUUAUAGAGGUCAGGUGGAACCCCCCCCCCUCCCUGGGGUCCUGCCCCCUCCCCAGCCACUGGGGGCUCCUGCCUCCCGUCCAACAGGCACUCAGUUUAAUUCAACCAACUUUUUUUUUUUUUUUUUAACGUUUAUUUAUUUUUUGAGAGACAGAGACAGAGCAGGAGCUGGGGAGGGGACAGAGAGAGGCGGGGAGUCACAGAUUCCGAAGCAGGCUCCAGGCUCCGAGCUGUCAGCACAGAGCCGGACGCGGGGCUCGGGGCUCGGGGCUCAUGCCCAUGAACCGUGAGAUCCUGACCUGAGCGGAAGGCGGACGCUCAACCGACUGAGCCCCCGGGGGGCCCGCAGCCAACUCUUACUAGGACGCCACAGCCAGAGCGACGGGCCGGACCCCGACAAGGAAAGCGGCCGGGGAGGGCUGGGCUAGGCCUGGACGGCGCUCCUGAACACCUGAGCCACUGAGGUGCAGAAACUGUUAAAGGCGCUGCAGAUGGCCUCCACCGCGUUGCAGAAGGCCUGAAAGCCGGCGGCCACCNGCCACCUUCUCCCUCAGCCACGCCAGUGCGGCCUGCCACUUGAGCUGCAGUUGGUAGAGCAGCCUUCGGAACGACCUCAGGGCUCGGUCACAAAAGCUCUCCUCCGUCUUCCGGACCCCGGGGUGCUCCUUCUCUUCCAGCUCGAGGACGGAGGACCUCAAGACUCUGGAACGUAGCUCCUGCCGCACUUCGGGAAGUAACGGACUGGACUCCUGCGAGGGUGGGGGUGCCGUUCGGGUCGGGGUCCCACCUGGAGGACGCGGCCCAGGUCCUGGCCCCGGCGGAGGCCUCCCCACCCGUGUGAGAGUCUGGGAGCCAGAAGCCCGGCUCUCCCGCCGACAGCUCCACACUCGAGAAGACUCCAUCCAGGGGCUCGGCCCCUCCGUGCCUCCCCACCCGCAGGGAGCAGCGUGGUGCUCGAGGACGGGCGUCUGAGCCCGGCACCGGCCCCGCGCGGCCCCUCAUACGCGGAGGCACCCCUCCACCCUCAGCUUGGCCAGGGGGCGGGGGGCACUGUGCACACACGUGACCAAGUCAAGACAGAACAGGGGGGGAAGGAAAAGCAAGCAGGGCUGCGAUGGGCGUCUCACACUCACCUCGUCGUUGUUCUGAUGAUGGUGAAGGUCCACGGCUUCCAGCAUGAUCUCGUUGAAGCCAUCCUGGGGAGAGGGGACGGUUCGGAGCUCCAGAUCUGCUCCUGUCUGUGGCCUCCAUGCGUCCAGGGGAGUGUCAAGGGAGCCAGGAGCCCGGACCCGAUAAGGAUAACCUGGCUGUAGCCCUGGGGACCGAGCUUUGGUGGGGGCGGGGGGGGCGGGGGGGGGGGGGGGGAUGUCACUUGGCUUAAAAUCCUCCCAGCCUCUCCCGCCCGCAGUCUUCUCCCCCAAGUCCCCACCUGUUCUCUGCUCCCCAGGCCCCCAUCACUGGGUCCAGCCCAGGGGCCUGGGGACCAGGUAUCCGGCAUCCCUGCUCUGUCGUCAAUAUGCGCAGUGACUUGAUCACCUUCCUAAGCCUCCCUGGGCCUCUGCAUUUCUCCCCUGUGCCCUCACCUGCACACGGGUGUGAACUAGGACAGUGUGCCAGGAGGUGCCCAGGUGUAAGGAGUGAGCAGACCCGAGGUAGCAUCUCCAUCACCCUCACCGUCAUCGUGGUCAUUGUGAAACCACCCACCCGAUCCCAACUGUAGAGCGCGUGGGAGUGGGGGGCGCGGCGACCCACCGGUGCUCCUCGGGAUUGGUGUUGGGUCCUGUCACAGAAGAUGUCCACCAGCUGGUGCUGCGCAGAGGGGAGAGGCGGAAGUGAGAGAGAGGCCUCGUCGUUCCCCCUCAGGGGCCCCUGGCUGGCCCAGAACGUUCUCAGCUCCACACAGCAGGACCCAGGUCCCCCUUUCUCCCCCGGACACACACUGGGAAGAGCUUCUUACCAUUUGGUGCCUCAUAAACUCAAUAGGAUUUCUGCCCACCUGUGGGGGUGACAGUGAUACUCAGACACGUGUGACCUUGCCGCCCCCCACACUUGCUGUACACACACACACACACACACGCGCGCACGCGCGCGCGCGCGCGCGCACACCCUGACCACACGCAUGGGUGAGCAUUGCCCCAGAGUGCUCCGGAUCCACUGUGUUACCAAAUACCUGUCCCUCUCCGUCCCGGGCCGACGGGCUGGCGGGGGCGGUGCUCUCGAAGGCGGUCACAGGAACGCAGCUCUUGACAGCUGGCUCUGCAGACCCACCUCCCCUGCCCGGACCCUCGGCUUGCCCCACAGAAGCGCAGGGCAGCCCGGACACGGCAUCACGGGUCUCCACCAAACCUGGUGCCGGCUCCCUGGUCACUGGGCAGUCCCCGCCACACGUGGAACGUCCACGGCUCUGGGCAAAUAUCUGCUGUGAGGCACCUGUCUCCACGUUUCUUGAGUCCCUGAUGGCACCAGCCCGUCACCCCAAUCGGGGGCGCUGGCCGCAGGGAACAAUUUGCUCUCCAACUCGGGCUCCCAAACUGGGCGUGGCCACCGAGCCUGGGGUCAUUCCAGAGUCCACUGUGACAAAUCCCGCAGGGCCCGGCAGCCUGUGGCCAACCUCACAACGGGGGUGGGGGAGGUGACCGGACACCCCAAAAGGGAGGCACAGACACCAAGGUCCUGGGCGGCAGGCCCAGGCAGGGAGGAAUUUUUAAACUUGGCAGGAAAGCACGACCUCCCCGCCCCCAGGUUUCCGGGGUAUCGGGACCGGGUCUACCCGGGAUCGGCGCCUCUGGCCCUAUAGACCCUCCAUGCCCCAGCUGCGCCACCAACGCAUCGGGUCCAGCUCCUGGAGCCACCCCCUUGCCCUCAUACACAGCGUUCCUCGGUAUCCUUAGCAGACACACACGCAGACCCUCUCCCCGUAGUUUGCCCCCAGACCGGAAAUCUGGCCCCACAAUCGGGACCCACUCUAUAAAGUGAAUGACUCACAGCAAAAUGAAACGGUGAGGCUGUCUGUCAAUAAUUAUUCAGAAUUUCAGGCAGUGAGAGAGCAUUCAACAAAGUAAGCCGGGGGUGGUUAUGAGCCUGGGGCCCUGUGGAGUGCACGGGUCACAUGCCUCUGACCCCCUGCUUCCCCAGUGGACUCCCCCAUUGGCCUAGGAGAAUGGGACAGAGCCAGGUGCACGUGGAGAGAUCAGGGGGUCUGGGGGCCAGCGCGAGCGGGAGAGGGGGACGCACAGCGGGGAAGUGGAAUCUGGGCUCCCCCCCCCACCCCUCCAAUUGCUCUCACUCACCUUGGAGGACCACAUGGUGGCUCAGGGCUCUGGGGGCUGUGGCCUGGCGGGGAGGAACAGGUGUGAGUUAGAGGGUUCAGGGAAGCGGCCUCCCCGCCAGCCCACCCCCCACUGGAAGUCGCUUUGGCUGCAGCCUCCCCCCCAGGCUGCCAGGUCACCUCACAGAUUCUCCCGGCCUAUGCUUCUGCUCCAGAGAGAGCCUCUGAUUUAAGAGGGAGGAGGGAGGAGGGAGGAGGGAGAGGCUGGGGGUGGGUGGAGCCUGGCUUGGAGGCAGGAUGUGAGGCUGUGUGUGUGUGUGUGUGUGUGUGUGUGUGUACGCACGUGUGUGGCACACGGAGACAGAAGCAAGGACAGGGAGACCGCCUGGGCGGGUGUGGGCAGGGCCUCUGGCUGUGCCCCCUCCACUCUCUGAGCUGGGGUGGGGAACUUCAGAGCCCAGGAACCAGCCUCUUUCUCAACCUUACCGGCCCGAGACAGGGAAAGACAGAGGAAAAGUCCAGACUGGUGAAAGCAGAUCGGGGCACUCCCAGGUUCUGGAAAAUGAACUCAUCCUGUUGAAGGUCAAGUAAGCUACUGGGGAAUGCUGACUAGGUCGCUUGGAACGGAGCAUACCCCGGCUCCAAAGUCCAGAGAAUGUUCCAAGCACCUCCAGGCCCAAGGCAGAGCAGGGCUGGCAAGAUCCCUAAGGUGGGCCCACCGGGAGGGGUGGGGAGGGGAGCUGAGCAGACUGCCCCAUGGGCCCCUGCAGGGGAGGCUGGAGGUGAUGGCUGUCUGCCACGGGACAGGGUGAAGCCCUCAGGAGGAGCUGAGGGCCUAGGGUCAGCAGGCCAGACUAUCCUGAGCCCUCCCGGGGCCGAGGGGCACCAUGUCCCGGCCGGCCCUGUGCAGUUCUGGGGUCACCCCCAGUUCGGCUCGCCCUACUCUGGCCCAGAGUCCCCCCGCUUCACCACAGCCGUGUCUACCCUCCACACUGGGGCUGCCCGGUGCCUGGGGCCGCGAAACCGAUCGAGGCCUCGGCAGGGUGGUCAGGGUGGCGGCUUCGAGGGCCGUGGGGGAAGGGUCUGUUCCAGCCUCUCUCCCAGGCCUGUGGAUGGCCUCUUCGUGCUCAUGUCAUUCUCCUGGCAUGCGCGUCUGUCCGCUAACUUCCCAUUUUUAUAGGGACACCAGUCUCACCGGAUUAGGGCCCAUCCAAUGACCUCAUUACCUUGAUUCCCUCUACAAAGAUCCUAUCUCCAAAUAAGGUCACCGUCUGAGGUCCUGGGGAUUAGGACUUGAACACGAGGACCUGGGCUCCCGAGGGGCCCCCGGAAGGACAGAACUGUAAAGCAGAUUUCCUUGGCGCAAGCCUCACUUGCAUUGACUAGACCCCAGCAGGCGUCUCCUGGCCCCUUAGGAGCCCAUCAACGGUCUGAAACGCCCCGUGCACACCUCGGAGUCCAGAUCCUUCCCUGAGCCGUCUUUAAAUUCUAGGCGGGGACAGAAAAGGUGGCGGCUGCAGGUAACGGUCCUGGGCUUCUUUCUCGGGAAGCACGGCCCCCUGACCCCACGAGACGCUUGGCCCCUCCGUGACGGUCUCGCAGAUCACCGUCAGCAAGCAUUUUGCGUCUCGGCAGGCUGCACCGUUUUCUAUACAGCUUUGGCGAGAAACAACCCACACGCAACUCCCCCACUGAAGCGUAUAAUUCAACGCACAGAACCGUGCACCCGUCACAGCCAAUUUCAGAACAUUUUCGUCGCCUCAGAAAGGCGAGCCAGCGCCCCGCCCAGAUCCCAAAGCCCCGCCCAGACAGCCACGCAUCUGCUCUCUGUCUCUGGAGUUCCCUGGUCUGGAUGUUUCUCAUACACGGAAUCACAUAGAGACGGUCACGCUGCGUGACCUUUAGUGGCCGCCUUUUGCACUUAGCACGGAUGUCUGGUUUUAGGUCUCUUGGGUUCACAGCUAGGAGGGGAAUUGUUGGCUCCUAUGGUAACUGACUAGGUUUUCCACUUUUUGAGGAACCGCCAGACGAGUUUCCAAAGUUACUGCGCCCUUUUCUGUCCCCAGAAGCAGCGCGUGAUGGUCCGUUUCUCCACAUCCUCGCCCACGCCGACUAUGAUGUUUUUGAUUCUAGCCGCCCUGGCGGGUGUGAAACAGUAUCCCUGUGUGGUUUUGAUUUUCAUUCCCCUCAUGACCAGCGACGUCGAGCAUCUUUCCGUGGGCUUGUCGGCCACUUGGAGGGAUGUGCAUUCUGACCCUUUGCCCGUUUUUAAAUUGGGUCAUUUACCUUCUGCUUAUUAAGCUGUCAGAGUAUUUUAUAUAUUCUGGAUACGAGCCUCUCAUCAGAUAUGUCCUUUGCAAAUACUUUCUCCCGUUUUGUGGGUGGUCUUUUCAUUUUUUUAAUGGUGUCCUUUGAAGCACAAAUAUUUUACAGUUUGAUUAUGGGACCAUUUUUUUUUAUUUUUUUUAUUUUUUUUUAAAUUUUUUUUUCAACGUUUUUUAUUUAUUUUUGGGACAGAGAGAGACAGAGCAUGAACGGGGGAGGGGCCGAGAGAGAGAGGGAGACACAGAAUCGGAAGCAGGCUCCAGGCUCUGAGCCAUCAGCCCAGAGCCUGACGCGGGGCUCGAACCCACGGACCGCGAGAUCGUGACCUGGCUGAAGUCGGACGCUUAACCGACUGCGCCACCCAGGCGCCCCGAUUAUGGGACCAUUUUAACGAUAAAAGUGAUCAAUUUGACCUGGCAUUUUUCUGUAGUAUACUUGAGAAUAUGUGUGUGUGUGUAUAUAUAUAUAUAUAUAUAUAUAUAUAUAUAUAUAUAUAUUUCUUUCCCCCUAAGAUUUACUUCUAAGUAAUAUCUACACUCAUUGUGGGGCUGGAACUCACAACCCUGACAUCAGGACCCUCAGGCUCCACCAACGGAACCAGCCGGGUGCCGCAGACAAAGUGUUUUAUUUUUUUUUUAAUUUUUUUUUCAACGUUUAUUUAUUUUUGGGACAGAGAGAGACAGAGCAUGAACGGGGGAGGGGCAGAGAGAGAGGGAGACACAGAAUCGGAAACAGGCUCCAGGCUCUGAGCCAUCAGCCCAGAGCCUGAUGUGGGGCUCGAACUCACGGACCGCGAGAUCGUGACCUGGCUGAAGUCGGACGCUUAACCGACUGCGCCACCCAGGCGCCCCAAAGUGUUUUGUUUUAAAGUAGGCUCCGUGACCAAGGUGGGGCUCAAACCCAAACCCACAACCCUGAGAUCAAGAGCCACAUGCUGUUCUGACUGAGCCAGCCAGGCACCCUUAAUAUAUAUUUAAAGGCUGGAGAAGAAGUCUCCGUGUAGCACUAAAAGAAGCCCCAGAUUUCACAUUGGAUGGCCCUCCUCUGAGGUCCCCUAGCCGACUUUUGAGUUUCUCUCUGUUCCCUCCUCCCACUCAUUCUCUUUCCGUCUGUCACCCCACUGCCUGUCAACUCUGAAUCCCAAGUUCUUCUACAGGACAGAGCAAUUCAGGUCUGUCAAGCUCCUGCCACCAAACUCACCCCGGAUCCAACUGUGCUCGGGAGAAAUGAAGGGCUUUCUCUCCGGUCACUUUCAUUGUCCUCCUGUGUGGGGCUCAUAAGCUUUUAAAAUAUAAGUUUCCUCCUCCGUAUAUUUUGAAAGGAUCCUGACAGAGGCCCGGGUUUCGGGUUUUCUGGUGGCUUGGAAUGCUCAGGUCACGGGUUGGCUGAAGACACCUGGCUGUUGCCCUCCGACUGGUCAGCUUGUCCUGACCGAGGGCCCUGCACGCUGGGACAGCAGCCCGCAGCCUCAGCCCCAGGCAGCACUGUGGGCGGAUGGCAACCCAGGAAGCGGCCCCUAAGCGGCUCCACCCAAAGGGGAUAGAUCCUACUGGAGCAAGGCCAUCAACCUGAUUCUGCAGAGAAUGUGCUCAGGUUGGUCCCUGGGAGGGAGAACACUUCAGAGACACAGAAAAACCACAAGACAGAGAUGACAGCUGUUGUCCCGGCCCCCUCGCCCAUCAGGGCUGCUCCCCCAAGCUCACUCGAGUGCAGACUCCUGGCCCCAGCCCCCAAGUGAUUCAGGGUGAGGGCAUGGGAUCCGCAUUUUUAAGUUCCCUAGGUGAUUCUGAUCUGGAAGAUUCCAGAAGUGCAGUUCCAGAGGCACUGAUGUAGGGCCUGAAUUCGGGGAGGAGUGGGAGGUGAAUGAGGUGGCCCUCCCACUCAUCACCCAGGGGUGCUGAGGAAGCAGUGACCCCUGGAUGGAGAGGGAACUCAGUCCACCGUCUUCACAGCCCUGAGCCGCGGAAAACCCAAGAGUUCUCCCUGAGGGAAGCGGUACACACUCCAGUGUGGAGGGACUGAGCGGAUUUUUAGGGAUUGGAGGGUGUUCUGUUGAACCGGGACUGUUCUGGGUCCAAGAUGGUGACCAGAAAGGAGGUCCACAGGGGCCUCGGUUGUGGAGGGUCGUCUGGGCGGCCACUGAUGUCACCCAGGAUAUGGGACACUCGUGCUCAGGGGUAACUUGAGGGCUGGAUCUGGGGUCCCCAUCCACGUGGCAUUGCCUGGGACGUUGCAGAAGCAGGACAGUGGGACUCUUCUGGGAAAUUCGGAGCAGCAGGUGGAGAGAGGGGCUGGGGUUCAGUUGCGCCAAUGAGUCCAGUCCUCUAAAGCCCCAAACAGCCAGGAGCCGCUAUGAGGAACCGCUGUUGCCAGGUGGGGCCAGGGCUAUAGUCACAGGCUGCUGAGAAGCACCAGCUCUUCCGGGAAAAAGAGCUUCCGGUAGCGGCAGCGCGCGGCGCAGCCAGGGCAACGGUGGGGGUGGGGGUGGGGGUGGGGGUGGGGCUGGGGGGGUGAGGGGGGGGUGCUGGAACGGCGAGGGUGAGCACAUGGCCCGUCCAGUCUAAGGGCUAGCCAUUUGUCCGCGCCCCCAGGGCGAAGCUCCACCCGCAUGAGCCCCGCCCCGGGACCGGCCCCCUCAGCUGGAGGCGACGCCCCCCACCAGCGGGGGUAGAAGGGACAGCAGGAAGGACAGCGACGGCCGCCCUGAGGCCUCAUUGAUCUCGCACUGACAGUCGCAGGCUCCGGGCUCCCGGGUGGCUUUGGGGGGCCUGGGGGCGCGUGGGUGGGCGCUGGGGGCCGGGCAGUCCAGCCACUUGGGGCCCAUGGGUUGGGGGGAGUCGGACUCCGCCUUGACGCUGCCCUUGGGAAAGCGCCAGUAGUGGGCGCCCUUGAAGAAGUAGGUGUCACCUGCGGGGCAGGGAGGAGACACUUCGGGGGCCGGUCCAGGCUGCCCCUCCCGCCGCGCCGCGUCCCUCCUGAGGGCUCCCCGAAACCCCCAGGAGGGCCCCUCUCCCCGUCCCCGGGGGCCCCCAGCCCCUCCCCGCGCCCUCUCCCACCUGCGUUGCUGACGGUGACAUCGUCGGGGGCGGGAGGCGCCCCUUCCCAAAGACUCAGGUCGCGGGGGUAGCCGGGGUCCGGGCGCGCGGCCGCCUCGUCGUACCGCCAGUAGCGCCCGCCCCGGAUCAGGUAGGUCUUCCCGUUGAGCGGCCACGAGAACACGGCGUCCACCCGCUCUCCGGCCGGCAGCCCCAGCUCCGUGAGCGGCCGCG
rnacentral:lncRNA from 1 species